UACGUAGGGUGCGAGCGUUACUCGGAAUUACUGGGCGUAAAGCGCGCGCAGGCGGCGCGUUAAGUCAGGUGUGAAAGCCCCGAGCUUAACUUGGGAAUUGCGCUUGUGACUGGCGAGCUGGAGUGUGGCAGAGGGAGGUGGAAUUCCACGUGUAGCAGUGAAAUGCGUAGAGAUGUGGAGGAACACCGAUGGCGAAGGCAGCCUCCUGGGCCAGCACUGACGCUCAGGCGCGAAAGCGUGGGGAGCAAACAGG
rnacentral:rRNA from 1 species